GGCAAGACUCUGGCAAAACU
rnacentral:miRNA from 1 species